UACGUAGGGUGCGAGCGUUGUCCGGAAUUACUGGGCGUAAAGAGCUCGUAGGUGGUUUGUCGCGUUGUCCGUGAAAACUCACAACUCAAUUGUGGGCGUGCGGGCGAUACGGGCAGACUGGAGUACUGCAGGGGAGACUGGAAUUCCUGGUGUAGCGGUGGAAUGCGCAGAUAUCAGGAGGAACACCGGUGGCGAAGGCGGGUCUCUGGGCCGAUACUGACGCUGAGGGGCGAAAGCGUGGGGAGCGAACAGG
rnacentral:rRNA from 1 species